rnacentral:tRNA from 1 species
AAUGAAGUGCCUGAAGAAAAGGACAAUUUUGAUAGAAUUGAUAAUGUGAUCCCAUCACCUUCAUUU